rnacentral:rRNA from 1 species
UGCCAGACUCCUACGGGAGGCAGCAGUGAGGAAUAUUGGUCAAUGGCCGCAGGGCUGAACCAGCCAAGUCGCGUGAGGGAUGACGGUCCUAUGGAUUGUAAACCUCUUUUGUCAGGGAGCAAAGGGCGCCACGUGUGGCGUUUUGCGAGUACCUGAAGAAAAAGCAUCGGCUAACUCCGUGCCAGCAGCCGCGGUAAUACGGAGGAUGCGAGCGUUAUCCGGAUUUAUUGGGUUUAAAGGGUGCGCAGGCGGAAUGUCAAGUCAGCGGUAAAAUUUCGGGGCUCAACCCCGUCGUGCCGUUGAAACUGGCGUUCUUGAGUGAGCGAGAAGUAUGCGGAAUGCGUGGUGUAGCGGUGAAAUGCAUAGAUAUCACGCAGAACUCCGAUUGCGAAGGCAUCUCACGAAUCCGCGAUUGACGCUGAUGCACGAAAGCGUGGGUAUCAAACAGGAUUAGAUACCCGCGUA